ACCCGAUGAUUCAGGUCAAUAAGGUGAAAACGCAAAUUUUAUCUAAAUUAUAAAAUGGGAAAAGAAUUGAAAAGAAUUGAAAAGAAUUGAAAAGAAUAUGAUAAUUAUUACCAAGGCAUAAGCACCGGCAGCAGCGGCACCGAGCUCGCCGAGCUGCUGGAGGUGCUUGUGGUGCUUCUCCUCCUUCCUGUAAUCGACCGUAGGCUCCGUGAAGAUGACCCCAGGCUCUGUGAAGGCAUCAUCCUUCUUGUGGUGGCUGCGGUGGUGGUUGUGGUGGUGGUGAUGGUGGUGUCCUUCGGCCAUGGUUGGUGGUUGUUUUUUUUUUUAGGAAUGCUAGAAUUGACGAAGGAUCAGUGAAAGGACUAUAGCUGAAGGUAUG
rnacentral:lncRNA from 1 species